AUUGAACGCUGGCGGCAUGCCUUACACAUGCAAGUCGAACGGUAACAGGUCUUCGGAUGCUGACGAGUGGCGAACGGGUGAGUAAUACAUCGGAACGUGCCCGAGAGUGGGGGAUAACGGAGCGAAAGCUUUGCUAAUACCGCAUACGAUCUACGGAUGAAAGCAGGGGACCGCAAGGCCUUGCGCUCAUGGAGCGGCCGAUGGCAGAUUAGGUAGUUGGUGGGAUAAAAGCUUACCAAGCCGACGAUCUGUAGCUGGUCUGAGAGGACGACCAGCCACACUGGGACUGAGACACGGCCCAGACUCCUACGGGAGGCAGCAGUGGGGAAUUUUGGACAAUGGGCGCAAGCCUGAUCCAGCCAUGCCGCGUGCAGGAUGAAGGCCUUCGGGUUGUAAACUGCUUUUGUACGGAACGAAAAGCCUCGGGCUAAUAUCCUGGGGUCAUGACGGUACCGUAAGAAUAAGCACCGGCUAACUACGUGCCAGCCGCCGCGGUAAAAC
rnacentral:rRNA from 1 species